UAACUUUGCCUUUCUCUAACCCAGGUGCCACUCAUAAUAAAGGCCACAGCCUUGGAAUCAGCAUGAAGCUGGAGCCUGAAAGAGCCAGGCACACUCAGGAGAGGGCAAGUAGCUGAUUUGCCAGGAUUUGGCCCACAUAACUCUGUACUCAUGCAUUGGUUUUGUCUUUUUUUUCUUGUAGCUGACUGAGUGGCUAACAGGCCAUCACAGGGCCCUCUGAGGCAGACUCAUUUCAGAUGCUACGUGGAUCCACAUCACCAAUCAUCCAAAAGAUAAGUUGGGGGCCACAGCCUGGAGAUGGGAUGAUGGGAGAGUAGCAGGUUGGGAGUUCUUGGGACAGAUUUAAAAAUUAGCAGAGGGAAAAGCAAUCUUCUCCAAGGGGCCUCUUAGGACAGCUAAAGGGAAAGGCUCUACUUUUGAUGGCAGCUUUCAGGCAGGCAGCGCAGAACAGCUCCAUGGUGUGUUGUCCAGUGUACUGUGUUACCUAGUGUGUCUUUGGGUUCCCUUUUGCCUUUUCCCCUUGAGACCUUCACCACAAGCAUAAUGCGUCGUGUUCAGCAUCCCCCUGUUUGUCACAUUCUGUGUCACGGGUGUCUGCACUUGUUUGCACCGGAGUUGUUCUGCCCUGCCGCACAGCCUGCUGCAAUGGGACAAGUCCCGGGGACUCGCAGUUUGUGGGGUGUCACCAGCCUGUAGAUGAUAUUCCUAGAUAGGCAGAAGAUGUUUGGAGCUGUGAAGUUAUCCUGCAGCCCUUUGACUUUUGUCCUCAUUUUCUUUCAGAUGCAGGGGAUAAAAUCCAGGGCAAAAUCCAUCCACCCAUCCUGGGUUAGGAGGUCCCCCUGAGCAGGAGGGAAAUCUGGAUACCAGCAGUCAAGGCAAUCCACUCGGAGUAUGCCGAGCCCCCGUCACCGACCGGCCGACGCCGAGUUUCCUGCUCUCGGGAGCCCCGUGGAUGUUUUACAGGACCUGGUGGUGAAGCCCUG